GCCGGCGUAGCUCAGUGGUAGAGCAGCUGUUUCGUAAACAGCAGGUCACCGGUUCGAAUCCGGUCGCCGGCUCCA
rnacentral:tRNA from 1 species